GGGAAUUGUUCGCAAUGGGCGCAAGCCUGACGACGCAACGCCGCGUGGAGGAUGAAGGUCUUCGGAUUGUAAACUCCUGUUGAUCGGGAAGAAUGUCUUCGGGGCCAACACCCUCGAAGAGUGACGGUACCGGUUGAGGAAGCCCCGGCUAACUCUGUGCCAGCAGCCGCGGUAAAACGUAGGACGCAAACGUUAUCCGGAAUUACUGGGCGUAAAGGGCGCGCAGGCGGUUGGAUAAGUUAGGCAUGAAAGCUCCCUGGCUAAACCGGGAGAGGCUGUCUGAUACUGUCCAGCUAGAGUGAGGUAGAGGGGUGUAGAAUUCCGCGUGUAGUGGUGAAAUGCGUAGAUAUGCGGAGGAAUACCAGUGGCGAAGGCGGCACCCUGGACCUAAACUGACGCUGAGGCGCGAAAGCAUGGGUAGCGAA
rnacentral:rRNA from 1 species